rnacentral:rRNA from 1 species
CCUACGGGGGGCUGCAGUGAGGAAUAUUGGUCAAUGGUCGUAAGACUGAACCAGCCAAGUAGCGUGCAGGAUGACUGCCCUAUGGGUUGUAAACUGCUUUUAUACGGGGAUAAAAUGCUUCACGUGUGGUGUUUUGUAUGUACCGCAUGAAUAAGGACCGGCUAAUUCCGUGCCAGCAGCCGCGGUAAUACGGAGGAUCCGAGCGUUAUCCGGAUUUAUUGGGUUUAAAGGGAGCGUAGGCGGAUUGUUAAGCCUGUUGUGAAAGGUUGUGGCUCAACCGUAACAUUGCAGUGGGAACUGGCAUGCUUGAGUACAGGGGAGGUAUGCGGAAUUCGUGGUGUAGCGGUGAAAUGCUUAGAUAUCACGAAGAACUCCGAUUGCGAAGGCAGCACACGGGACCGCAACUGACACUGAGGCUCGAAGGUGUGGGUAUCGAACAGGAUUAGAUACCCCAGUAGUC